GAUGAACGCUGGCGGCGUGCCUAAUACAUGCAAGUCGAGCGAACAGAUGAGGAGCUUGCUCCUCUGACGUUAGCGGCGGACGGGUGAGUAACACGUGGAUAACCUACCUAUAAGACUGGGAUAACUUCGGGAAACCGGAGCUAAUACCGGAUAAUAUAUUGAACCGCAUGGUUCAAUAGUGAAAGACGGUUUUGCUGUCCCUUAUAGAUGGAUCCGCGCCGCAUUAGCUAGUUGGUAAGGUAACGGCUUACCAAGGCAACGAUGCGUAGCCGACCUGGGAGGGUGAUCGGCCACACUGGAACUGAGACACGGUCCAGACUCCUACGGGAGGCAGCAGUAGGGAAUCUUCCGCAAUGGGCGAAAGCCUGACGGAGCAACGCCGCGUGAGUGAUGAAGGUCUUCGGAUCGUAAAACUCUGUUAUUAGGGAAGAACAAAUGUGUAAGUAACUAUGCACGUCUUGACGGUACCUAAUCAGAAAGCCACGGCUAACUACGUG
rnacentral:rRNA from 1 species